GGACCCGGACUACUUUCGGCUCCGUUCGGGGUCGUCGUGAGGGGCGAUCCUAGACAAUAGAGUUAUUGAGGUAGCGGAAUUUUUAUGAAUUUCAAUAUUAUAAUGAGUUUUAGGAUUGGAUUAGUGGCAAACCCAUAGUCAGCUUCCUGUGAAGGUCUUACCUUACUACGUUUUAUAUUCGCACUUUGAUUUAUGUUAAGUUAAAGACUAUAUGGAUGUCUUCGACAUCAUGAUAUAAUAAAGUAUACUCUUUACGCUAUUAUUUGAGCAUUGUGUGAUGAUGUCCAGUUAUGUAAUCGUUGUGUAUGUGAAUUUCUGAUCUAGACACAUACAUGGUUUAUAUUUGGUUUGCCUUCUAAAACCUAGUGUGAUAGUACCAGACAUGCUAGCGGCCUGGGCACGGUUUAGUUCGAUGAACCGGUGUUUUCUGUUCGGUGCAACCCUAAAACCAAAGCCGGCGUCUAAACCCUAAUUGAAACCAAACCCGAAAAAACAAAAAAUUGGGUAGGUUGUUUGGUUUCUGCUUAAAAAUGCCCAGGACUAACCACGUCUAUUCAAGUGCGUCACUGCGUCCCAUUCGUUGGGGCAAGUGCGGCUAGGGGUGAAAACGGGAUAGGAUUACCCGACGGGUACCAGAUACGAAUACUUAAAAUACCCGUUUUUUGGGUACCAGAUACGAGUAAUUUUGUAUACAGGUCGGAUAAGGAUACUACCCGGAUAUACAACAGUCGGAUACGGGUAGGAUACAAGAUGACCACUACCCGACAAAUACCCGAGAAGUACGAGUACGAUACGGGUACUCGGUUAGUAGUGGGGCAAUAUGAAAGAGAAGUUUGAUAAAUAUUGGAACAUGAACAAUAUGGCUUUAGCAGUGGGGGCAUUUCUUGAUCCUAGGUACAAACACAAAAUGGUGGAGUUGUACAUGUCUAAGAUGUAUGAGAGUGAGAGGGCUGAGCUAGAGAAGUUGUUUUUCAUUAAUGUCAUAAAUGAGUUAUUUGCUUUUUAUUCAUCAAACAUCAAUGCAAAAACAACCAAUAUGGCUUUUACCUCCAAGGAGACUGAACUUGUUCCACACAAAAAUGGUUCUUUCAUGGAUGGUGAGGAUGAGGUAGAUCUUAAUGAGUUGUAUGCAACAACAAACAAUGUGGAGAAGGUUUCAGAAUUGGAUGUGUAUACGAGUGAGGGUUUGGUGAAGGUCAAUGAAGGUGAUGCUCCAUUUGAUAUCCUAACUUGGUGGAGGGGGCAAGUGACAAAUCUUCCUAUCCUUUCAACCCUUGCUCGUGAUGUGUUAUCUAUGUAAGUUUCUACUGUUGCUUCGGAGUCAUCAUUUAGCUCUAGUGGAUGUAUUGUUGAUGCCUUUCAUUCAAAACUUAAACAUGAAAUUAUUGAGGCCUUGGUUUGUACCAUGUAUUAGAUUGCUUCAGAGAAAGGUUUGAUUUCAUUAUACAUGUGUUUGUUGUUCAUUUGUGAUUGUUUAUUUAUGUGCAUGUGACUUGAUGACGCUUACUUAUAUGUUUUUUGUUCUCAACAAUUUCAGAUUUAGACACUGAAAUUAAAACCACAAGUGAAGAUAUGAAUGCAAUGGACUUGGACGAAGAUGCUAUUGCGGUGACUUGAUACAUUGAAGCAUGUGUUGCAUUGAAUAUUGUUAUGUCAUUUGAGUUAUGAUGUUUGCACUUUUGUGUGACUGGCACU
rnacentral:lncRNA from 1 species